GCUGGCGAAGCUUCACCAGGUCGGAGGACUCGGGUCCCAGGCGAGCCGUGCGCUCUGUGGCCUCUGCUGCAACCAGAGAGGCGAUGCUGAACGCACUGGCCCGGGGAGACAGCGGGAUCCGCGCGUCCAUAGGCGCCCGGCGGCCGGGCCGGCGCCGCCUCUGACUGCAUGCACCCAGCCCCACCGAGGCCGGCCCAGCCCACGGGCCCCGGGGGCGGGAGCCUGCGGUGCCACUCACAGCCGCCAGCCCCGGGCCCAGGGGAUUAUGGCGUCACGGCCCCCCACUCUGGGCCAGUGGCAGCCGAGGGGCCCCGAUGGGUGGAAAGCCCUGGGAGUGUGGGCCCUCCUGUUUUUCAAGCUCCGGUUCCCCCGCAUCUGUUCCCAGGGGCCUCCAUGACCAGCACCCCUUGAACAUCCCACUGCUCCGCUGAGUCCGAGUUCCCUCUGUACAGCGAAACUUGUACAGCCCCGGAGGGGAGGCAGUGACGCUGAGAGCACCCAGCCCCGACCCGCAGCAGUGGGGCACCGACAAAGCACCAUGGGCAGCCUGGGCCCGGCCCUGUCCCUGCCCUCAGCUCCUCCCGCCUCCUCCUCCCUGGCUGCCCCUGCACCUGGGUGAGGAGGGGGCAGUCCGGGCUCUGGUACUGGCCACAGGCAGACAGCCCCAGGGCCACAGCGUCGUCCUUUCCUCGGCGCCCAGGGAUAGGACCUAGCCCAGCAGACGUCCCUAGCCCCCUUCUCUCCUCAGCUCACUUUCGUGGCCCGGGACCCUGAGCAGAGGGGCGCCGCCCAGGCCGCGCAGACCGGAGCCCGAGCGUCACGCGCACCGCGCGCACCGCCCGCCUCUGGCCAGGACGCUUAUACAUCCGGAGGGUGGGCAGUGCCCGCUCCUCCGACCUCCCCAGCACAGGCCAGGAGCAGGGAGGGCCGGGGGCGGGGCCUGGACUGGCCGAGGGAGAGGGAGCCCAGGACACGUCGGAGGAACUCAGGCCGCUGGUCGGUCCUGGUCGGUCUGUGCUGUCCCUCACUUGCUACCCACCAUGCAGCCAGCCUGUCGGCCUGGCGGGUGUGUGGGUUGUGUCCUGGGAACCUCCGUUGUACACCUGAGCAGCGGCCUGAAGGCGGAGCCCAGAUGUGGAGUCCGAGGGAGACGUCAGUACAGAGAAGGGAGAAGUGAAAGUGAAAAACCCUGGGGCUGCUGGACACUCCAGGUAAGCCUCCUGAGGUCCCUGGCCCUGUGAGUCAGGUGGUGGAGGGGAGGGGGUCCUCCCAGCCCCUCAUUAACCCCUUCACACCUAGGCUGGGACCAGGAGACCAGGCUAGGUGAGAAAAAGUGUGGGAGCAGAAAGGACUGUGGCAUGGACAAACUCUGAUCUGAUCGAGAGCAUGCUGGAAGAGGUCAGGAUCCUCCGCUAGGCUGCUCAGCUGGAGGGGCGCCCCUGCUCCACCCACAGCUGAUACUCACCCAAGUGGUUGCAGAACCUGACUGAACCCACUGUCAAAGCCCAGGGAGUGCCAGAGGGGCCCAAAGGGCCAGAAGUGGAGGCCUGAGCCCCCAGUCCUCCACAGCAUUGCUGCCUUCCACGCCUCCUUCUGUCCUUUUUGGGGGCCGCCCCACAGCUUUCUUCGACACCACUGUAACCCCACCCUUGGUGCCUACCGCCCAGAGGGAGCCCGCGCCCAGUGGCCC
ensembl:lncRNA